rnacentral:rRNA from 1 species
GUGGGGAAUAUUGGACAAUGGGGGGAACCCUGAUCCAGCCAUGCCGCGUGUGUGAAGAAGGCCUUUUGGUUGUAAAGCACUUUAAGCGAGGAGGAGGCUACCGAGAUUAAUACUCUUGGAUAGUGGACGUUACUCGCAGAAUAAGCACCGGCUAACUCUGUGCCAGCAGCCGCGGUAAUACAGAGGGUGCAAGCGUUAAUCGGAUUUACUGGGCGUAAAGCGCGCGUAGGUGGCCAAUUAAGUCAAAUGUGGAAUCCCCGAGCUUAACUUGGGAAUUGCAUUCGAUACUGGUUGGCUAGAGUAUGGGAGAGGAUGGUAGAAUUCCAGGUGUAGCGGUGAAAUGCGUAGAGAUCUGGAGGAAUACCGAUGGCGAAGGCAGCCAUCUGGCCUAAUACUGACACUGAGGUGCGAAAGCAUGGGGAGCAAACAGGAUUAGAAACCCGUGUAGUCC